GCCUAUAUCCAACUACUAAAACAACGACCUUAUCUGUGACAACAGUAACAGCUAGGCAACUUCGGUGCUGGACACGGUUUUCUGUAGAAAUCCUGAAAUAUACAGAGUGUAUUACCAUAUGCUUGCUUCUUUGAGUAUGUGCCUGAAACAAGAAUGUCCUGGAGAAAACGGACCACAACAAGAAAAGAGAUGGAGAGGAAGGGCUUGCUGUUGAGAGAUCAUGGGGUGCCUUGAGGUUCCACUUCCAGUCUUGAUGUUCUGCCCCUUACCUCUAAGCGAUGGCCUCUUGUGCCUGGCAAUAUAUGAGCGAAGCACAAUGGACUGGUGCUGGUGGAGCUGCAUGUAUCUUUUACUCAUCAAUGGUAGUUUUAAAAUCUUCCUCUGUAUUGUGAAAGCAGAAACAUGAUGUAGAGUGGAAGAAAAAAAGUAUGUAACACAGUAUCAUUUAAAAUAGAUUUUAUAAAGUAAAAACACACUGGCCUGCAGUUUGUGAAACAUGUAGCACUGUAUUACCAAUUAAAAGAAUUCAGCGAUUUUUACAACGUGCUCUAUUGGCAUUUAUGUACUGGUUAUGUUGUAACACAAAAUGAAUUCUUAACUUUAAUCCUGGAUCCAUUGCUAAACAUAAUGUCAACCCUAAAUGUAUUAAACAUUGCCAGACCCAAUUUCGGGCUACCCUAAAUCCCUUUCUACAUACCAGUAUUGUUCAAAGUUUAUAUUUAUUACACCCUUACUGCGAGUUCUAGAAAUUCUGCAAGAACCCUACCCUGCUGUUCACUUUAUAAUUAGUACUUCACAUUGCUUUCAUGAACAUGCCGUAAAAGUGAAUUUAUUUUAUGUCUCUAUACAAACAGGUGCCUGUACAUGUAAUGUAUUUCAUGCAAAUGAAGGGUAGAAUGAGAAGCUCACAAUGACAAGGACCUUGCUGUCUAAAGCUCGGAGGCCAGAUGACAGUGUCUGAAGUAAGUCGCCCCAUAGAAGAGCGAGAACUUUCUGUUGCAAUUGUUAACAUGCAACACAUCCUUACCACAUGCAACCCAUCCCACUUUCACAAUAUAUUUUCUUAACAACAGUAACCCAAGUUCAACGUUUGGAUUGGUGAUUUUAAACAUAAAAACAAUGGUCUGAAUGUUUAAUUAGAUCUUUUACGCAAACGUAGUAUAUUAGUAAUGAAAGGCAUGUUUGGUAAUACAGUAAUUUCAUUUCAGACCAUGAAGACCAUGUAUUAUUAUAAUUAUCUGGGAUCUGUCGUUGGGCUGAUAAGCAUGGAAAAUAAGGAAUGUACUCCUGUCGAACGAACAAUAUGUUUUUAUAAAACGAAUAACUCUUUGAAGAUUACUUACUAGAAGAAGUAGAACAAGAAGAAAAAGAAGAAGAAAUACACUGAUGAUGUCAGCUUGACUUCCUAAAGUUGUAUACUAUUUGAAAAUAGUUUAUAUUUUAUUCAUGAACAGCCGGCUUGUCGGAAUUGCGUACAAGGAUGCCAUUGGACUUUUCUGUACUAGUAGCUGAAGGGGGGAGCAGUCACCAGAAGGAGCAUGCAACUCCAAAACAAUGUGGAUACUUCUACCGAGUUCAUCUCAAGAAUCAAGAUGUGACAGUGGAUGUACAUGUAGAGGGGUUUGUGACCCUCCUGACUGUGGACUACAUGCAAUACACAUCAAUGGAUUGUAGAGGAGUAAUGGUGGGUCCGGUGAGCUCAACUCUGGAGGUUAAGUUCGCAAAAUUAAUAAAUUUCCUUUUAAUAUGGGUGUAUAUGGUUCCAGGGAUUAAUUUGACGCAAUGCCUCGUAGUGACACGCCCUAUUAAGGGGCAACACACGUGUCAGAAGGUAUAAAAUGGGAAGCAGUUCCUGAAUUGGCACGAGCUUUUACUUUUCGGAUGACUUCCUCAUUUUGUUUCAUACCUCAUUUCCUUUGCCGCCAUGAGGUGCUAAAGUUUUAGCAGAGUUGGGGGCUUCCAGCCCAUAGAUGUGACUUUUCAUGAUUAUAUGUAAUAAAUUGUAAUAAAGUUACUAUCCACUUCAACA